rnacentral:rRNA from 1 species
GACGAACGCUGGCGGCGUGCCUAAUACAUGCAAGUCGAGCGGACCACUUCGGUGGUCAGCGGCGGACGGGUGAGUAGCACGUGGGCAACCUGCCUGUAAGACUGGGAUAACACCGGGAAACCGGUGCUAAUACCGGAUAAUCCUUUCCUUCAAAUGAGGGAAAGCUGAAAGACGGUUUCGGCUGUCACUUACAGAUGGGCCCGCGGCGCAUUAGCUAGUUGGUGAGGUAACGGCCCACCAAGGCAACGAUGCGUAGCCGAGCUGAGAGGGUGAUCGGCCACACUGGGACUGAGACACGGCCCAGACUCCUACGGGAGGCAGCAGUAGGGAAUCUUCAGCAAUGGACGAGAGUCUGACGGAGCAACGCCGCGUGAGCGAUGAAGGCCCUCGGGUCGUAAAGCUCUGUUGUCAGGGAAGAACAAGUACCGGAGUAACUGCCGGUACCUUGACGGUACCUGACCAGAAAGCCACGGCUAACUACGUGCCAGCCGCCGCUGUAAAAC